rfam:Caenorhabditis elegans chromosome V
AAAGUUGAGGUAGGUGCGAGAAAUGACGGCAUCCAUAUAGUAAUCGUUCAUUGUCUCUCAGCUGCUUCAUCUGUG